rnacentral:rRNA from 1 species
UACGAAGGGUGCAAGCGUUAUCCGGAUUCAUUGGGUUUAAAGGGUGCGUAGGCCGCACGGUAAGUCAGGUGUGAAAGCCCGGAGCUCAACUUCGGAAUUGCACCCGAUACUGCCGUGCUUGAGGACUGGAGAGGAGUCUGGAAUUCACAGUGGAGCAGUGAAAUGCGUAGAUAUUGUGAGGAACACUAGUGGCGAAGGCGAGACUCUGGACAGUUCCUGACGCUGAGGCACGAAGGCCAGGGGAGCAAACGGG